ensembl:lncRNA
GGCAACUUUUCUGAUGAGUGCAAUCUAAAAUUUCUUCAGAAGUCAAUGUGCCACAUCAACCAACUUUUUUCAACUAGCCAACCUUUCUCCUACAUCAAACGCUGCCCGUGGCUGUGGAAUGGUGGCAGUCGUAAGAAGGGAAACCUGUUGGAGUUCUAAAUGUUACAUCUUAAAAGUUGUCUCUGCUUUCACGUUUUUCAGCUCAAUCUCCCUGGCUCUGGCCAGCUCUGCCCCUAAACGCCUAAGUUCCAACUCCUCCUUCAGAUGAAACUCCCUUUCGCAUUUUUCUCUCUCCAGCUGGAGAUGAGCCAGAUGAACUCGUAGCCUAGCAUCCUGCUUUGAACCCAAAAAGAACUGUAUCGAGAGUGGCUCAAAAUGAGGCAGUGUCGUCGGCAGUGCCCUCAGGCAGUUCCUGAGCAACAGGCGUAGACACAGAUGGUGCUAUAGCUUGAUCUGGCAACAGGGGAACAUGCUGAGAUGCUACACCAUGCUCAGCCAACUCAACUGUUGAGACCCCAAUCUCGUUAAACAAUGCCAUCUCAUAUAUACACACGUAUACACACGUAUACACACACACACACACUUAUUUAUUUGCUAUCCAGCACUCAUUACUUCAGCUUAAACUUUUUGAUCACAAAUUUGUGAUCAUACUUGUGGAUCACAAUGACACAUAAUGAUUAGGCAUAUGAUUUACUAAUGUCUGGUUUUAGAGCUGUGAGCUAUGAGCUGUGAGCAAUGCAAAGUUUUUUCCUAACUUAAAAGUUUGAAAUAUGUAAGAUGUGUGGGUUCUUUGAAAAAAAUAGAAAUGACCUAAAUGCCUUAAGUAAAAUGUAGUGUUCUCAGGUGGUAACUGGUGUCUCACUACUGGCAACGGCUCUGCUCAUCACACUAUCCACCCAGGAAGAAGGAAGACAACAAUACACGAGCCGAGAAAAGAGAUGGACUAUGCCUGGUACAGAUACGCGUUUAACAGAACUGCAGAGAAAGACUGUUAUGUUUGCUCGCACAUGCCGAGCGUAUUAGCACAACCAUAUAUGGGAAACACCCUGAGAAUGACUUUUGUAAAGUGCACAACAACAUCAACAUCCUCAUCCAGGAAGAAGCGCUCAACUUUAACAAGUUUUAAAGAGACUGUUGAUUGUCGUUGGACUUUUCCUGAUUUUAUUUUUCUUUAUUUGAGUUAUUCCUUGUUUAAAGCCGUAAUUUCACAGAUGAUAAGUUUGUCACUCACAGCAUACGCAGAUGUACCAAAACCGAUGAAGAUCAUGAAGACUUCUUUUCCUAUUUGUUAGAUGAAGAUGAAGUGUAACUAAUGAUGUAGUAACUGAGAAUGUGAAAGACAAGUAGUUACUCACUGAUGAAUUGUACAUUUCAUUUCGUGAUCAACAGGAGGGAAUGUCAAAAGAGAAUAUUGUAUAAUGUGAUCAGCUAUAUGAAAUGUAUCUUUUUAUUUUAUCAUUAAGCACAUGUCUAUGUGACUUUUCACCUAGUAACUUUUGACAUGAACUCUUCUGUGAUAAACAACUUGCAGCUUCCUCUUUCUGGUUUGGAAGAUACAGACUUAGAAAAGGGGAACCUCAGCUCUGAGUUCUGAGAAUAACUCUGUUAUCUUUAUACACACACACACACACACACACACACACACACACACACACACACACACACACACACACACACACACACACACACACACACACACACACACACACACACACACACACACACACACACACACACACACACACACACACACACACACACACACACACACACACACACACACACACACACACACAAAAAAAAUAUAUUUUUUGGCAUUUUGCCUUUAUUGGGUAGCGAUAGUGAAGACAGACAGGAAAGCGGAUAGAAGACAUGGAAGGAAGACAUGCAGCAAAGGGCCACAGGUCGGACUGACUGUAACUGUUAAGAUUUCUCAGCCAUUUCAAUUGGUUGGAAUGGACCUUCUUGGGAAACUUAGAAACCAAAAGGGGACAUCAGUACAUUUGUGUUUUCAUUGGCUACUUCAAAAUACCAACACGGAUCCCCACUGAAGUCUAAAUCAGCAAAGGAAGUGACAAACUGAUCAAAUUUGUCCAUCAGUUUGAAGCACCUAACAGGGUUCUUAGUGAGCAAGGAAAAGAAUUUGUCAAUUCACUCAAAAGGUUAUGCAGAAUGUUACACAGAAGAAACCUCUGCUCCCCAUAUCACCCACAAACAAAUGGCUCAGUAGAGAGAAUGAAUGGCACCAUCCAGAGAGCCCUCUGUAAGGUUGUUGGUGACCAUCCAGAAACAUGGGAUGACUAUCUGGAUGUUGUGAUGUUUGGUCUCAGAACAAAAAAGCAAAUGACCACUGAAAUACUCACCCCAUUACCUGAUUUUUGGCAGAGAGGCUCGUUAUCCAUAUGAAAUCCCAGAACAUUACAUGGUCUUUCUGUCUGUGACAGACUACAGGAAAAUCCUACGCAAAGCACCUUAGUAAGUUUUUGAUGCACAGGCAGAACAGUUUGAAUGCAUGCUACAUCACCACCUUAAAAGCAACAAUAGUAUCAGAUCCAGGGGUCAGAAGCUACAGCAAAGGAAGAAAACGCCACCAGAACCAGCACGCGCUGCAGGUCCACAAGCCAAAUCACAAACAGCAGCAGACCCAGCCUCACAGACCACAGCAGCAGACCUCGAUCCAAAAGCUACAACUCCACCAGCAACUACUCCCCAGGUUGUAGCACCACCAGCAUCAACUACUCCUAAGUAAUCUACAGCACAAACUGUAGAAGCAACAGUACUACCAGUGACAGCAGCAACAGCCUUACAAGCUACCCCCUGCACCACCUCCAGCAUCAUCACCUCAAAGAUAUACUCAAGCUGUUGCAGAGAAAUGUAAAAAAAGAAAAAGAAAAUAACAAUUUUGUGAUUUGCUUAAAAAGCCCUUUAUUCCUAUGAUACUCUGUUACAUUACUCUUUAGAUCAUGGCACAGGAUAUUUUACACAAUUUCCCUGUUGGUUUAGGUAUAUUAUUCAAAAGACUUAAAAUUCAAUACUCUGUUAAUGCAUUUUCAAAAAAUAUACCUUCAUCAAGCAAGGCUGUAACUCACAUGUGUCACGUGACAUAAAUAAUUGAUUCUUUCAACAACAACAACAAAAACAACAACAAAAAAAAAGAGUCAUAUUUCUUUGUUAUUGUGUAAACCAGAAUGUUCAGAAUUGACAUUGUACUUAUAAUGUACACUACCAGUUAAAAGUUUGGACACCUUCCCAUUCAAAGUUCUGUUUUCAUGGCUACUUGCAUUGUAGAUUCUCACUGAAGGCAUCAAAACUAUGAACGAACCCAUAUGGAACCCUAACCUGAUCAUAUAGUAAAGAAAAAAGUAUAAAAUAAAAAGAGGUUUUGUGUCUUAGUCUUCAAAAUAGCCACCCUUUGCUUUGCACACCCUUUGCCUUCUCAGUAAGCUUCAUAAAGUAGUCACCUGAAAUGGUUGUCACUGCACAGGUGACACACAAAGCAGAGGUGACUCUUGGCCUUCCUUUCCUGGGAUGGGCCUCAUGUGAGCCAGUUUCAUUGUAGCGCUUGAUGGUUUUUGCAACUACAGUUUGGUUGUCUUUGGGGAUCAGGACCGUCUGGGUAGUGAUGUGUCCUGUGUGUCGAAGCUUCAAAGCGUGUCGGGUAAUCUCGGGGGAGUUUUUGUGAAGUGUGUACAGAGGCUUGCUUUGAUUACGUAUGCAGUGACGUUCGAGGCCUCGCGGGCAGCCCGUACCACAUGACUGAUUCAGGAACUGGCUCGCCAGUUUCCAAAUAAAAUGGGUAACAAAACACAGCUGAUUCCCCCAUCACAUUGUUUUGUGGAAUUGGAUUACGUACAUGUUACAUAGUUACUCGAGCAUUUCUUCUUCGAUGGAACCAGCAAGGAAGAGAAGAUUUCCCCUGUCUGGCAACACUGAUCUCAUCUCUCCUAAUAAGGUAUGCACACAGUAAUAAAUAUCACAAAUGAUAAGUACCAUAAUAUAAAUAAACCACACCACAGAUCCUAUAAUCUGAUUUCUGUCUUUUGGUUUAUUGAAAGGUGAAGUGUUUGUUGUGCUCCAAAGAACUUGGAUACAGCAACAACACCUCAACUAUGCUGAGGCAUUACAGAGCCCUGUGUGAAAACAAGGAGACUAUCCAAGGUGGACCAAGCUCAGGUAAGUUUUUUUUAGGUUGCAAGGAUACAGUCAUUUGAUACAUUUACAUUCCCCAUGUCAUUCAUUUAUAUUUGGGUUGUAAUUACUGCUAUAUGUAAUUUCUUAAUGUUUUGUUUGUUUUAUCAGGGGAGAGGAAUGAUAUGGAUGAGGCAUUGGUCAACAUGGUGAUAGAUUCCCAGCCCUUCACUAUUGUGGAGGACAGUGGGUUUAGAAAGCUUGUUAAAGCUUUGAACCUUAACUGUUCUCCCCACAAGGCAGGUGUGUAUCUUAAAAAUAUGAAGCAUGUUUCCAGUUUGCCUAUAUUUCCAUAUUAAUAGCGGUACUUUCUUUUGUUUAG